rnacentral:rRNA from 1 species
AGUCGAGGGGUAGAGGAAGCUUGCUUCCUUGAGACCGGCGCACGGGUGCGUAACGCGUAUGCAAUCUACCUUUUACAGAGGGAUAGCCCAGAGAAAUUUGGAUUAAUACCUCAUAGUAUAUAUUAUUCGCAUGUUUGAUAUAUUAAAGUUCCAACGGUAAAAGAUGAGCAUGCGUCCCAUUAGUUAGUUGGUAAGGUAACGGCUUACCAAGACGAUGAUGGGUGGGGGUCCUGAGAGGGAGAUCCCCCACACUGGUACUGAGACACGGACCAGACUCCUACGGGAGGCAGCAGUGAGGAAUAUUGGUCAAUGGACGCAAGUCUGAACCAGCCAUGCCGCGUGCAGGAAGACGGUCCUAUGGAUUGUAAACUGCUUUUGUACGGGAAGAAACCCUCCGACGAGUCGGAGCUUGACGGUACCGUAAGAAUAAGCAUCGGCUAACUCCGUGCCAGCAGCCGCGGUAAUACGGAGGAUGCGAGCGUUAUCCGGAAUCAUUGGGUUUAAAGGGUCCGUAGGCGGUUUAAUAAGUCAGUGGUGAAAUCUGGUCGCUCAACGAUCAAACUGCCAUUGAUACUGUUAGACUUGAAUUACUGUGAAGUAACUAGAAUAUGUAGUGUAGCGGUGAAAUGCUUAGAUAUUACAUGGAAUACCAAUUGCGAAGGCAGGUUACUAACAGUUGAUUGACGCUGAUGGACGAAAGCGUGGGGAGCGAACAGGAUUAGAUACCCUGGUANUCCACGCCGUAAACGAUGGAUACUGGUUGUUUGGAUUUAUCUGAGUGACUAAGCGAAAGUGAUAAGUAUCCCACCUGGGGAGUACGAACGCAAGUUUGAAACUCAAAGGAAUUGACNGGGGGCCCGCACNAGCGGUGGAGCAUGUGGUUUANNUCGAUGAUACGCGAGGAACCUUACCNANG